AUUAGUCCAGGAGUCAGCAACUUUUUUUUCUGUAAAAGGCACGAUAGUAAUUAUUUUGUGGAUCCAUGCGCCCUCUGUUGCAGCUACUCAGCUCUGCCAUUGUAGAGUGAAAGCAGCCAUAGACAUUAUGUAAAGGAAUGCACAUGGCUAUGUUCCAGUAAAACUUUACAAGAAAAAGCAGUUAGCUAUUGUCCGCUGACCCCUGUCUAGGACCCAGACUGCUGGUAUUAUUCCAGUCCUAGGGUAACUUACAGCACCAGGAAAGUGAGAGUUCAUGUUUCUUCCUAGUCAGUCUUCCAGGCAGAGGUACUGACGAGAAAAAAGUAAGACGUGAGUCUGUAAUUAAAUGAUUCUAUUUACCAUAAUAACUUGAUCAGUCAGCAGAUGACCCUCCCAAAUAUGUAAGCUCACAGACUGGUCCAACCUUUAUGUAUAACAACCCAUUCCGUGGGUACUUUAUUUUUAUUUAUUUGUUUAUUUGUUUUUUCAGGGCCAAACCCAUAGCAUAUGGAGGUUCCCAGGCGAGGGGUUGAAAAGGAGCUGCAGCCUUCAGCCUACUCCACAGCCACAGCAGUGCCAGAUCCAAGCCGCGUCUGUGACCGACACCAGAGCUCACAGCAACGCUGGAUCCCUAACCCACUGAGCGAGGCCAGGCAUCCAACCCGAAUCCUCAUGGAUGCUAGAUGGGUUCAUUAAUGGCUGAGCCAUGACAGGAACUCCUGUAAGUACUUUGCCUAAUUUCACCCAGAUUCCCAAACAGCACCUUCUUGAAUGGCCAUACAGUUUGAUCCUGUCUGUCGUAUCAUUACAUUAGAGGGUGUCCCUGACGACUUUGUUUUCUCCCUUUCCACCCCUUUCUUGGUGAUAACCUAUUACUACUACUUUUUAAAUUAAAGUAUAAUUGAUUUACAUUACUGUAAUUUUAGGUGGGCGGGGUAGUGAUUCAAUAUUUUUAUGGAUUCUACUCCAUUUAAAGUUAUUACAAAGUAAUGGCUCUGCUGUGCACCAUGUCCUCCCACACACCCUAUCUUGCCUAUCUCCCUUCCCGCUCCCCACUGAUAACCACUGAUUUGUUCUCCGUAUCUGGGAGUCUGUUUCUGUUUGUUAUGUACGUUCAUUUAUGUUAUUUUUUAGCUUCCAUGUAUUAGUGAUAACACAGAGUACUGGUCUUUCUAUGACUUAUUUCACUGUACUUUCCUUAUUAAGCAUAAUACUCUCAAGGUCCCUCCACGAAUACUAUUUUUUCCUAGUGUCUGCAUAUUAUGUCUAUGAUCAGAAGUAUGUGAAAGGUAUGUAUUCCCUCCUUCUAGUUCACUAAAGGCAUUUGUUUUUAAAAUGACCUCCUAUGUCUCACCCUCUGUAUUAGUCUCCUACUGUUGCCUUAACAAAUUACCACAAAAUUACUCUCACAGUUGAGUAGGUCAGACAUCUGAGUACAGCAUGGCUCUGCUGGGUCCCCUUCUGAGAGUCACAAAAGUCUGAAAUCAAGAUGUCAGCAGGGUUGCUUUCCUUUCUAGAGGCUCUAGGGUGAACCUGCUUUGAAGUGUACUGUCUGUUGGCCAGAAUGUUCCUUGCAGUUUUGGGACUGAGGUCCCAUUUCUUUGCUGGGUUAAUUCUCAGUUGGGAAUCGUUCUGCUUCCAGAGUCCACCCAUAUUCUUUAGCUUGAUACCCCUUCAUGUUCAGUCAGAGUCAGCAACAGUAGAGUCUUUCCCAUACUUCAGAUCUCGCUAACCUCCCCAUUCUGUCUCAACUCUUCUGCUUCUGCCUGGAGAAAAUUCACUACUUUUAAGGGUGCUUGUGAUUAGGUCGGAUCCAUUCGGAUAAUCCAGGAAAAUCUCCGAUGAAGAGUCUAAACUUAAUUAUAUCUGCAAAGUUCCUGUUACCAGGUAAAACCCCAUAAAAUAUGUGGGAGGUGAAUCUUUCAGGGCCGUUAUCACCACCUCAUUGUACUUUUGGUUCUAUUUUGCAUUUUUUUUUUAGCAUAAUUGCUUAGAUUGUCCACUCAGUUCUAAAAUACAUCUUAAUAUUUAUGAGCAUACUAAGUAUGUUUUUAUUAAUGUUACGACUCAUUAUUUUAUUUCAUAAUUACAUUUACAUUUAUGUAGUCAUGGAGCAGGAACUUUUUUCCUUAACAUACUAUGAACCAUUUCCUUAUGUCCACUUCGAGUUCUUUGCAAAUAUAAUGUUAAUUUUUGUGCAAUACCUCCUUGAAUGUACAUACUAAAUUUAUAUAACAAUCGCUCUGUUAUUAAUCAUUUGGGGCUUCCCCAGUGUUUCACUAAUGUAAGUAACUGUAAUGAACAGUUUUGUACCAAAAGAUUGUCUACAUGUGGGAUGAUUUUCUCAGGAUAGAUCCCCAAAAGUAGGAUAACUGCAUCAAAGGCCAUGAAUUUCCAUGAUAGAAACUACUUUCUGAAAGGCUUGAACAAAGUUUGUAUCCUCAGAAGCACUUACCAGUAGUGAAUGUCAUCAUUAAAAACAAAGAACAUAAAGGUUGAAAUGAAAGGACAUUAGACAGUAACUUGGAGUCACAUGAAGAAAUAAAAGUCUCAGUAAAAGUAAAUACAUACACAGUUAUAAAAGCUGGUGUUAUUAUAACAAUGGUAUGUAACUCCAUGUUUUGUUUUCUACAGGAUUUAAGAGACCUGACAUUAAAAGAAAUAGCUAUCAGUCCAAAAGAUAGUAUGAACUCUGUAAUGCCAUAUAUUGUUUGCUAUAUAAUUUAAGAGACUAAUGCAUUAAAAAUUUUUAGUUUAUGUCUUUGGACACACUGUGUAAAGAUGUAAUUUUGUGUGACAUCAACAACUGAAAAGUAUAGGAAAAGAGCUGUUAAAGGAACAGAAGGUGAGAAGUGGUUGGAGCCUAGAUAUGUGUUGAAGGUGUAGAUGUUGGGCAUUUGCCAUUGGAUUGGAUAUGGGGUGUGUGUGUGUGUGUGUGUGUGUUGUGGGGAAGGUAAUGAUGGAUUUAGCUCCUUUUCUGAGUAGCAUAGGAGAAUAGUAAAGAGGGAAUGAAUAUGGAUAAAAAGCAGAAGUUUAAAGACAACUCUUUGCCAACCCAGUGUUCAGAGAUCAGAGAGGUGAGGAAGAACCAGGAGAGUAGACCAAGAAGCAGUGCCAGGAGGAAAAUCAGCACAGUGGUGCCCUCAAAGCCCAAUGAAAUAAUUGUUUAAGGAGGAGGGAAUAGUUGGUUAUGUUAAAUACUGCUCCAAGGUUGAAAAGAUGAGGAGUGAAAACAAUUAGACCUAACAGUANUGACAUGGUUGGUGGCCUUGCAAACAGAUUCACUGGAGUAGUGGGGGCAUGACCCAUUUGCAGUGGGGUAUAAGAAAGAAUAAAACGUGAAACGUUGGAGAGAAUGAGCAUAGACAACGCUUCCAAGGAGUUUUACAUCAAAAGAUAAGCUCACCAUAUACUUUGCAAUCCAACUGGAACACAUUGAAAAGGGCACCAUUAAUAAUUAAGCCAAGAUUUAUUGAAUUAAUAAGUAUAAACUGGAACUCUCAUGACAAAGUGAAAUAAGUGUUAUUUUAUGGAGGAAGGGGGGCUGCAGCUGGAAGAGAAGUGGAAGAAAAAGGGUUGGUUAGUUUUUUAAAGAAGAGAUAAAUAACAGCUAAUAGAAAUGAUCUGAUAGGGAAAGUUUUAAAAUAGAAGAGGGAAAGAACAUUUUUUUGGAGCCAUUUCUUUGGGUAGUAUAUAGUGUACAAGUGGAAGGGCUGGUUUUAGCCAAGAGCAUGGGGACAAAUGCACAAAGAUGAGAUGAUAUCAUUAGAGCUUGUGGAAAUUUUCUUAUGAAAAUUAUUGAAAUAGGAUAUUUACUAAGAGUGAGAAUUAGAGAGGAGUUAUUGGAGGUUUUAAAAGAGAGAGAGAUGAAAUAGUUUUAUAGGAGAAAGGAAGAAUUAAUAGAGAAAUACAGUUUGAUUGCCAAGCACUAUUUGGGUUCAGUUGCAUUUAAUAACCAUGUGUUUUAAGUAAGAUCACUCAACAUUGGUUGUAUGUUUUUCUUAAGCCAGGUUUUACUGUGCAAAUGUAGUCAUGGGGAAAGCUAAAAAUGGGAUUUAAUCAGGGUAUAUUUUUUAGCCAAAUACAAUUAAGUAAGAGAAAGUCAAGGGAAUUCAGACUACAUGCAAGGGAAUGAUUUUACCUUUUAAGUAUUUAAUAACUUUUAUAGUGAUGCUGUCAUCUGACUGUAUAUGGUUUAACCUGGUGAAUUAGUUUCAUAAGGUUUCUGUAACAAAGUGCCACAAACUGAGUACUUUAAUAGAAAUGUGGAGGCAGAGCAAGAUGGCAGACGAGUAAGAAGAGGUCAUGCUCGCCUUAUCCCACAAACACAUCAGAACAACACAUGUACAUGUAAAAUGACUCGCACAGAACAUCAACUGAAUGCUGGCAGAAGAACGUAAACCUCCUAAAAGGGCAGAAAACUCUCGACAUAACUGGUAGAACGAAAGGAAACUGGGUAGAACGAAAGAAGAAAAGAGAAAAGGAAUCAGGACAGGACUAGCAUUCCUGAGAGGGAGCUGUGAUGGAGAAAAGGAACCCACAUCCUGGGAAACCACCUGAUGGAAAGACCAGCCGAGUUGGAGGGACCUCAAAGUUGCCGAGGAAAGCACAGCAGCUGGGCAGAGGAGGGCAAGUUAGAAGUGAGAGCUGCACAGAUCAUCUUGUGUGGGCUAAGGGGAUCAGGGGGCUAAGUGCAAUGUGGUGCCUCUGCAUGAUCUACAGGGGGCAGGGACAGACCAUGGCGGUUGUCUCAGGGGCCAGAGGGAGGCAUGGC
rnacentral:lncRNA from 1 species